UACAGAGACUGCAAGCGUUAUUCGGAUUCACUGGGCGUAAAGGGUGCGCAGGUGGCCAAGUGUGUUAGGCGUGAAAGCCCGGGGCUUAACCCCGGAAUUGCACCUAAAACUACUUGGCUAGAGCAUUGGAGAGGGGAGCAGAAUUCAUGGUGUAGCAGUGAAAUGCGUAGAUAUCAUGAGGAAUACCAGAGGCGAAGGCGGCUACCUGGACAAUUGCUGACGCUCAGGCACGAAAGCGUGGGAGCAAAGGG
rnacentral:rRNA from 1 species